rnacentral:rRNA from 1 species
UACAGAGGUGGCAAGCGUUGUUCGGAAUUACUGGGCGUAAAGGGCGCGUAGGCGGCCUUCUAAGUCAGACGUGAAAUCCCCCGGCUUAACCUGGGAACUGCGUCUGAUACUGGGAGGCUUGAGUAUGGGAGAGGGAUGUAGAAUUCCAGGUGUAGCGGUGAAAUGCGUAGAUAUCUGGAGGAACACCGGUGGCGAAGGCGGCCACCUGGACGGAUACUGACGCUGAGACGCGAAAGCGUGGGUAGCAAACAGG